GGAUGGAUCAGUGAAGAAGUGAUUUAGAGUCUCUGCAUGGCUAACAUCAACUCUGGAAAGCCCUUCAUCAUGCAGCCAGGUUAAACAACAAUGUUAAAGUAUCACAAGCAAAUUGAUCCUCGUGAGAAACCAAGCUUUCUAGGAUAGAGUUGGCAUCUUUUGGCCCUGGCACUUCUGACUCAAUGUAAAGCUGAUCUUUGCUGACCUUUAGCUCAGUGCGUGCUCUGACUGUGCUCAGGCUGCUAUUAGGCAUGUGCUGCUCAGCUGAAGCACAAGGCAAAUGUGACCAGGAGAUGUUACAUGCUUUGCAAGGAAUAAACUUCUUGGUUGCAGUGCAGUUGUAUGGAGUCAGGAUGGGAAGCACACAAAGUGGAAGAGCUCCUGACCCUCAUCCUUAAGGAUAAAAGCCAAAAUCUCAUUAAGGAUUGUAGGGUGGAAACUUGCUUGGCGGUGCGGUUUCUGGCACCUGCACAUUCAAGCCUGAUUAGUUUCAGAGACGGGAUGCUAAGUAAACCUAAUAUAGGGGAUGGUAAAUCCCACAUCCUUUGCCAAAACAAGCAAGGCAGAUGAAGCUGUCACGCUUUGCCUUUUCUUCCUUCUCCACGAAUUGGACGGGUCCUAAGGAGCGCAGUCUUCCCUUCCGCGGAGGCUUCAGCCUGCUGGGGUCGUUAGACUUACAGCUGAUGCCCCUUGGCCAGUCAUGCAUUGCUGAUCACCAUUCAAGGCGCUGUCCGUUUCGCAGAGCUCCUGAGCAAGCCGGCUCCUCUCCUCGGCCGUGUGUGUGCCCCAGCGAGAGGGACUGGGACAUCUGCACGGCCAGGUGCUCCACUUGGCUGAGGUGUGAGCGGUGGCCAGCACACCUUGCCCCUGGAAAUGAUGUCAGCUGUGUGGGUUUUACAUUUUGAUAAGCAGAAUCGGGGUGAGGGUGAAAGAAACACUGAAGAAAUACACUACUGUGUUUUGAAAUAUGUUGACUGCCUGUAAUAUUGCCUUUCUCUUAUUACACAAACCGGCCUGCACGCUGCAGUUGUACAGCUGCACGGUUAGCUAGAAAACCCCGGGAUUUAUGGAAACUAGUUCAAUUGUUCCCUCCCUUCACUUCUGGCUGCCUAUAGGUGAAGUUUACUGCCGGCAGUUAACAUUGCUUGCAUGCCAUUUGUCUGAUACCAAUGGCAAAGUGUAGACUUCAGGUGAUGCAGCUGCUUUCACACUUCUGCUCCCUUCCAGGUGUUGGUCAGUCUUUCACUACUUCCGUAUGAAUUUUUUAUUUGUAUUUGGUACUCCUAAAGGCCACAACCCCAGUGUGAAGAUUUGCCUGCAGUCUUUGUCCCCAAAGAGUUUGCUGUUGCAUGGACAGGUGAGCAGUGAACAGGGCAGGGAUGAAAUUGCUUUUGUUUUACGGGUGGGGGUCUGAGGCACAGGGAGAGUAACUCUUCAACAAGCUGGCCAAGAACACUGGGGCCAGCCUUUUAGAAACAGGGCAGUGAGGAAGAGUUGCAGCUGAAUGUGAUCAAUAGUGUAAUCAUCUAGCUUCUUUCUGCAGUGGUGUUUCAAACUUCCAGGUGAUGUCUCUUCCAUCUGACUGCCUUGUGACCACCCUGUCUUGAUGCACAGCUGUGUUAAUUUGUAGUCAUUUAGACACCCAUGUGUUACCUAUGAUUUUUUUGUUUUGCUAUCAUGGAAAUGGAUCUCAAAGUUUAAGUUGGAUUAACCGUCAGUUCUUGGAUUUGAACACUUCUGUGUUUACUGUUGACAGUGCCGGUAACUGUUAUUCUGAAAAGCUGUGACUCAGUGGAGUCAAUGCUUCAUUCUGAAGUCUUUAACUGAAAUGCUUCAUUACAAUUUCCUAAGCUAACCUGCAACGUGUUGUUUCUGAACAGCACAGCUAUCACACGCCACUUCUUG
ensembl:lncRNA